GAUGAACGCUGGCGGCGUGCCUAAUACAUGCAAGUCGAGCGAACAGACGAGGAGCUUGCUCCUCUGACGUUAGCGGCGGACGGGUGAGUAACACGUGUAUAACCUACCUAUAAGACUGGGAUAACUUCGGGAAACCGGAGCUAAUACCGGAUAAUAUAUUGAACCGCAUGGUUCAAUAGUGAAAGACGGUUUUGCUGUCACUUAUAGAUGGAUCCGCGCCGCAUUAGUUAGUUGGUAAGGUAACGGCUUACCAAGGCGACGAUGCGUAGCCGACCUGAGAGGGUGAUCGGCCACACUGGAACUGAGACACGGUCCAGACUCCUACGGGAGGCAGCAGUAGGGAAUCUUCCGCAAUGGGCGAAAGCCUGACGGAGCAACGCCGAGUGAGUGAUGAAGGUCUUCGGAUCGUAAAACUCUGUUAUUAGGGAAGAACAAAUGUGUAAGUAACUAUGCACGUCUUGACGGUACCUAAUCAGAAAGCAACGGCUAACUACGUG
rnacentral:rRNA from 1 species